UCCGAGACUUUACAAAUUCUAAAAAAAAUGUUUAGAAUUUACAAUAAGAUCUACUUCAUAUACAAUCAGAGGUACACAAAGAAUGCAGCACGUCAAAGAUCUUGUUACUUGAGAUUUCUAAGAUAUAUAAAGGUAAUAAAUCUCAAGACUAUGUGUAAUACAACCAAUAUAUAUAAAGGAUUAGUGAUCAGAUCAGUUGUAAUUGUUGUUUUAAUGUCUUGUUUUUAUUCUUCCUUCAAAUCUUCAGCUCCUUAUGUAGAGGUAACACAAGAGACGUUGGAAAAUGACUUGCAUAAGUGUCUUUGCAAAAAAGCAGUUUUCAAGAGAGAGACGUUGGGAGUUGGUACUAUUAAGAUCUUCAUCUUCUGA